rnacentral:rRNA from 1 species
CGAUCAGUAGGGGUUCUGAGAGGAAGGUCCCCCACAUUGGAACUGAGACACGGUCCAAACUCCUACGGGAGGCAGCAGUGAGGAAUAUUGGUCAAUGGACGAGAGUCUGAACCAGCCAAGUAGCGUGCAGGAAGACGGCCCUAUGGGUUGUAAACUGCUUUUAUAAGGGAAUAAAGUGAGAGUCGUGACUCUUUUUGCAUGUACCUUAUGAAUAAGGACCGGCUAAUUCCGUGCCAGCAGCCGCGGUAAUACGGAAGGUCCGGGCGUUAUCCGGAUUUAUUGGGUUUAAAGGGAGCGUAGGCCGGAGAUUAAGCGUGUUGUGAAAUGUAGACGCUCAACGUCUGCACUGCAGCGCGAACUGGUUUCCUUGAGUACGCACAAAGUGGGCGGAAUUCGUGGUGUAGCGGUGAAAUGCUUAGAUAUCACGAAGAACUCCGAUUGCGAAGGCAGCUCACUGGAGCGCAACUGACGCUGAAGCUCGAAAGUGCGGGUAUCGAACAGGAUUAGAUACCCUGGUAGUCCGCACGGUAAACGAUGGAUGCCCGCUGUUGGUCUGAAUAGGUCAGCGGCCAAGCGAAAGCAUUAAGCAUCCCACCUGGGGAGUACGCCGGCAACGGUGAAACUCAAAGGAAUUGACGGGGGCCCGCACAAGCGGAGGAACAUGUGGUUUAAUUCGAUGAUACGCGAGGAACCUUACCCGGGCUUGAAUUGCAGAGGAAGGAUUUGGAGACAAUGACGCCCUUCGGGGCCUCUGUGAAGGUGCUGCAUGGUUGUCGUCAGCUCGUGCCGUGAGGUGUCGGCUUAAGUGCCAUAACGAGCGCAACCCCUCUCCUUAGUUGCCAUCAGGUUAAGCUGGGCACUCUGGGGACACUGCCACCGUAAGGUGUGAGGAAGGUGGGGAUGACGUCAAAUCAGCACGGCCCUUACGUCCGGGGCUACACACGUGUUACAAUGGCAGGUACAGAGAGACGGUUGUACGUAAGUACGAUCAAAUCCUUAAAGCCUGUCUCAGUUCGGACUGGGGUCUGCAACCCGACCCCACGAAGCUGGAUUCGCUAGUAAUCGCGCAUCAGCCAUGGCGCGGUGAAUACGUUCCCGGGCCUUGUACACACCGCCCGUCAAGCCAUGAAAGCCGGGGGCGCCUAAAGUCCGUGACCGUAAGGAGCGGCCUAGGGCGAAACUGGUAAUUGGGGCUAAGUCGUAACAAGGUA